GUGCCUGUAGCUCAAGCGGUUAAGGCGCCAGUCACAUACACUGGAGCUGGCAGGUUCAAAUCCAGCCCAGGCCCA
rnacentral:tRNA from 1 species